rnacentral:lncRNA from 1 species
AGUGUUCGGGGCCGUUUUGGCGGCUAUGCAGGAUUGGCAGGAGCUGCGAUGCUCACACUUGCCUCGCCGACCGCCAUUUCACAUCCAGCAGAGGAGGCGGGGGCAGCCGCUGAGACGGUUUUUCACAAGGCUGCGUCCCGGGCACGCGCAAGUACAUGUGCAUUUUAGUGGUUACCAGGUUGCCACGUAUUUGAAGUGGUGUGAGAGCUACUCGUUUGGAACCGUUGUGGAUUUUCAAAUAGGAAAAUCAAAAGGCCCAAAGAGACAGCUCACUGGUGACCAUGCUUUGGGAUUUUCAUAGUUUGAGUAAUUCCUAUGGGCUCUACCACCCAGCGAGUUAAAGAAGACAAGAUUCCACCCCCAGGGGGUUGUGGUUCUGGGAAUGUGAGCAGCUUGUUUUCAGGAGAUCUGCAUCUUGAUCUGGCCUGCUAUUAGGAUCUGUGGUGGUGGUGCCUGUCUGGUUUUAGUUGUUUCUUUUAUCUUACACAGAUUUUUGUAAGUUAUUUGCAUAUAAAGGUUUUUGAAAAGUGAAUGUUUUAUGGGGGCAUCUUGCUUAUACAAAGAAAAAUUAAAACUGUUUUAAAAUAA